rnacentral:rRNA from 1 species
UGGGGAAUUUUGGACAAUGGGCGAAAGCCUGAUCCAGCAAUGCAGCGUGUGUGAAGAAGGCCUUCGGGUUGUAAAGCACUGUUGUCCGGAAAGAAAUGGCUCUGGUUAAUACCUGGGGUCGAUGACGGUACCGGAAGAAUAAGGACCGGCUAACUACGUGCCAGCAGCCGCGGUAAUACGUAGGGUCCAAGCGUUAAUCGGAAUUACUGGGCGUAAAGCGUGCGCAGGCGGUUGUGCAAGACCGAUGUGAAAUCCCCGAGCUUAACUUGGGAAUUGGAGUGGUGACUUCACGGAGAGAGUGUGUCAGAGGGAGGUAAAAUUCCACGGAUAGCAGGUAAAUGCGGAGAGCUGUGGAAGAAUACCGAUCGCCAAGUCAGCCCCCUGGGAUAACACUGACGCUCAUGCACGAAAGCGUGGGGAGCAAGCAGG